UGGACAAUCUCUCAGCCAAGGACUUUAUCAGCCGACAUACCAGCUGCCCGAAGGGGUUUAUUUACGAAAUAUCGCUGGCAGUGCCGGUGGGCAAGAUAAGGCGAAUCCUGUGUUCUGAUUGGCUUUGAUCUCGUUGAAGAUUUUGUCCUAUUGUUAAUUCAUAAGAAAGCGGGAUUAGCUCUGUUUGAUAAAGCAUUUGGACCGAGUGCUAUGUCCUUUUUGUUUUUUGCAUAUUUAAUGCUUUACAUGCUUUUCUUCGUUUUGACAGACUGCAAUGCUUACUUUGAAAUUCCAUUACUGCUCCCUGGUGACAUACGAGACUGCCUAAGAAUUACGUGACAUGUAAACCGGCUGCAUUUAAUUAUACAAUGACAUUUCUCCACCCGGGUUGCAGGAGUGUUAUUUAUAUAGAUGUUAACUUUGGAGAGAUCAAUCUGUUUACGCCGUGGAUGGAAGAUAAUGCAAUUGAUAGAUAUCAAUGACUUAUCUUUGAUAACUCAAAGAUAACUCAUUGAGUUUUACUUUGUGGAAUUCGAUAGACAAUCCUGCGAGAGUAGAACCGCCGCUUUUGUCAAUCAGAAAUCAGGAAUGUCAUAAAAACACUCGCUCGCGAAGCUGGUCAUAUGACAAAAAUGACUGAGGAAGUUUAUUUUUUCCUUUUGUUUUUGUAGUUUUUUACCGUCAAUUACGUCACCCAAUGCUGACAUUGUAACUCUUUCCAUGUAUGGUGUUAGGGUCAUUUCCUGCCGCUGAUACAGCAGCAGAUGCUGUAAAUAAAUUUAAAAACUCCACUAUGGACAACAAAGAGCUGUUUGUAAGAGUCCUACCGACUAUUCAUCCUGGGCUGUUCCCCCCUGGAAGCCAACCCCUUGUAGUACUGGUUAACUCUAGAAGUGGAGGUGGUCAAGGGGCCGACAUGUCAGCAGCUUUCCAGAGACUGCUCAACCCUCAUCAAGUGUACAGCCUCACAGAAAGAGGCCCUUAUUAGGAUUUUACGCUUUCAGAUCUAUUCCUGAUUUUCGUGUCUUGAUCUGUGGGGGCGAUGGGACAGUUGGCUGGGUGUUGUCGUGUUUGGAUGAUG